rnacentral:rRNA from 1 species
AUUGAACGCUGGCGGCAGGCCUAACACAUGCAAGUCGAGCGGAUGAAGGGAGCUUGCUCCUGGAUUCAGCGGCGGACGGGUGAGUAAUGCCUAGGAAUCUGCCUGGUAGUGGGGGAUAACGUCCGGAAACGGGCGCUAAUACCGCAUACGUCCUGAGGGAGAAAGUGGGGGAUCUUCGGACCUCACGCUACCAGAUGAGCCUAGGUCGGAUUAGCUAGUUGGUGGGGUAAAGGCCUACCAAGGCGACGAUCCGUAACUGGUCUGAGAGGAUGAUCAGUCACACUGGAACUGAGACACGGUCCAGACUCCUACGGGAGGCAGCAGUGGGGAAUAUUGGACAAUGGGCGAAAGCCUGAUCCAGCCAUGCCGCGUGUGUGAAGAAGGUCUUCGGAUUGUAAAGCACUUUAAGUGGGGAGGAAGGGCAGUAAGUUAAUACCUUGCUGUUUUGACGUUACCAACAGAAUAAGCACCGGCUAACUUCGUG